UUUUGGGGUGAUUUUGGGCACUUUGGGACCCCCGCAGCACGUCCGGAACAGCCGCGGCUCCAACAAGUACGAGGGGUGGCCGCAGGCGCUGGAGCUCGGCGGCUGCGUCCCCCAGCGGCCCCCGGGGUGACCCCAAAAACCGGGGGGACCCCAAAACAUCCCGGGGGGACCCCAAAACAUCCCGGGAACCCCAAAACAUCCAGGGGGACCCCAAAAACCGGGGGGGGACCCGAAAACAUCCCGGGGGGACCCCAAAACAUCCCGGGAACCCCAAAAACAUCCCGGGACCCCAAAACAUCCCAGGGGACCCCAAAACCCGGGGGGACCUCAAAAUCAUCCCGGGGGGACCCCAAAACAUCCCGGGGGGACCCCAAAACAUCCCGGGAACCCUAAAACAUCACGGGGGGACCCCAAAACCCGGGGGGACCCCAAAACAUCCCGGGGGGACCCCAAAACCCGGGGGGACCCCAAAAACAUCCCGGGAACCCUAAAACAUCUUGGGGGAUCCCAAAAACAUCCCGGGAACCCCAAAACAUCCCGGGGGGACCCCAAAACCCGGGGGGACCCCAAAACAUCCCGGGAACCCCAAAACAUCCCAGGGGGACCCCAGAAACCGGAGGGGGGACCCUAAAAACAUCCCGGGAACCCCAAAAACGUGCCAGGGGGACCCAAAAACCCGGGGGGGACCCCAAAACAUCCCGGGGGGACCUCAAAACUCACAGAGAUCCCAAAAAACCCACAGAGACCCCUCAGGGACCCCGAAAACCCCACAGAGACCCCAAAGCACAAAGUGGGGGACCCCAAAAUACACAGGGACCCCAAAAACCCCACACAGCGACCCCAAAACUCACAGAGACCCCAAAACCUCCCGGGGGCACCCCAAAAUUCACAGAGACCCCAAAAACCCCACAGGGACCCCAAAACAUCCCAGUGGGACCCCAAAAACCCCACAGAGACCCCAAAAAACCCGCAGAGACCCCCUCAAGGACCCCAAAAUCCACAGGGGGCACCCCAAAACUCACAGAGACCCCAAAACAUCCCGGAGGUACCCCAAAACUCACAGAGACCCCAAGGGACCCCAAAACCCCCACAGAGACCCCCUCAAGGACCCCAAAAUCCACAGGGGGCACCCCAAAACUCACGGGGACGCCAAAAACCCCUCAUGGACCCCAAAAUGUCCCAGAACCCCCCAAAGCCGAGGAUUUGGGGUCCCCCCGGUCAGAUUUGGGGUUCCCUGGUCAGAUUUGGGGUCCCCCGGUCAGAUUUG
rnacentral:lncRNA from 1 species